GCAACAGAUUUCUGUAUACUUAUUUUGUAUCCUGUAACUUUACCGAAUUGACUUAUUCUGUUUUUUGGUGGCGUCUUUAGGGUUUCCUAUAUAUAAAAUCACGUCAUCUGUAAAAAGUGUGUUUUAUUUCUUCCUUCCAAUUUGGAUGCGCUUUAUUCUUUUUCUUGUGUUCUAAGUGUUCUCACUAGGGCUUCAGUACUAUGUUGAAUACCAUGUAAGAUUUGACAUAAGAGGCAAAAGUGGCCCGAAGAAAGGUUUGAAACUAAAUGUUGAGCAUUCACUGGCUUUCUGGAGCAACUCCUUCCUUUUUAUGAAGCCCCAUGUGGGUGAUGUAGGCAUUAGAAACAAUCCAGAGUUACUACUGCUGUGUAAUAAACCACCUCAAAACUUAAGAGGCUUAAACAGUAAUCAUUUUCUCUCAUGGUUUCUGUAGGCCAAGAAUUUGGAAAAGGCUCUGCUUGGCAGUUCUGACAGGGUGGCCGAUGUACUUGCAGUUAGACUGGCUGGAGCUGGAAUGAGAGGCAGCUGGAAAACUAAGGAGGGACUAGCCAGGCAUUUCUCUUUGCUUGUGGUUUCAGGGUCUCUCCGUGUAGUGUCUCCACGUGGUCUGGUUUGGGCUCGCUCAUAGCAUGGCGGCUUCAGGGCGGUACCCUUUUACAUGGUGGCUCAAGGACUAGCAGCUUGUGUGUUCCAACAAACCAGCCGUAAGCUACAUCGCCUUUUAUGACCUAGCCUUGGAAGCUAUAUAGCAUUACUUUUGUCAUAUCCAGUCACCUCUUGAUUCAGAGGAAGUCACAGACUUUAUUGACGUCUUAACAACUGCCACAUCCACCCUCACGAAACCCAUCUGGUGUGGGAGGCAAGGCCAGUCCAGACAGCACCACCGAGACAGUAUCAAAAGACAUAAUUACCAUAAGAGAGACGGUGGACUUCCCUUCUCGGCAAUGUCAAGACCUAACUCUGCUCCGCUGCCUCCUGAGUGUGGUGUUACAGGAGUUUACAUCAGUCUCCAACUUGGAAAUAGUAUCAGGGACUCUGAAUGUGGACUCAGUUUUACCAAGUCCUUCAGAGCAGACCAGGGGCUGAGGCAACUCACCAGGGUAAAUGGCCCGGCAGGGUGCCUGCACAAAGCACCCUCCCACCUUUCUUUAGAGAUCUGAACUUGCACCUGGGGGAAAUCAUCUUGAAAUGAGCACAGGAUAAAGGAGCCUGGGCCCAUCAGUGCUUCACAAUGACCACAAUCUCAGCAGAAGCCUCGGUAGCUAACACUACCCUGAGCAACUGAACCCCGACCAGUCUCCACCAUACUUGUCACAGAACUUCAAAGGGAACCUGACAGACACACCUAGAGAGCACAUGCCCCCCAGGAAGGUGGGCCGGACAGAGGCUGAAGCCUGGCAUCUGAGACCAUGACAGAACCAAGGACGGCCAAUGGGAGACAGGCAGCUUGAAGUCCGAUGCACAAAACACUGGUGUGCCGCAGCUGCCCCACAGCGGCAGAGGCUGUCUGGCAAAGCAGUCAACUCCCUCUUUUCUGGCAGAUUUCCUUCUAACAGAGCUGCCAGAGACAAGGGCACUUAAACCCCUCUUUGCUUCUGAGGACAGGAAUUUAAGGCUCUUUACCAUGAAAAUUGAAAGUAUCCUCAGGCCCAGCCUGGCCUACCUAUACACUGAAGUGAGCGGGUGACUAUUAAGUGAAAACUGGGUUCUGAAUCCAGCAGGGAAAGCAAGCCCCUGGCCUCCACCCAGGCAAGCAGCACUGCCCCGCCUCUUUCUCUGAGCUACUUCCAAGUAGACCCCAGGCGCGGAGCAUUAAAGACCACAGGUGCCGGUUGGUGGCGAUACGAGAAUGCCUGUUUUCUCCCUACAACUAUUUAACUUUCAAUAAGUGAGUAAAUUCCAAAAAGAGCAUUUUUUAAAAGUCAAUUCAAGGUUUUCUUAGACACAGAUAAUAAGCACCCAGAGAACCCUUAAUCCUGAAGUCACCAUUGGGAACAUCUUGGCCACCUAAGCACGUCCCUGCUAAUGGACCCUCCGGGAAGCAGCCCUCGAGGGCUGGGCUGAAUUUUGGGGAUGCAGCCCGACCAAGCCUAUAGUCAUCUCCAGAGUUCUGAAAUCCUGGCACAGUCACGAAAGCGGCCUUUCAUUCCAGGGUUACAUUUUUACAUGUGGACUUGAUCUAUGAGGUAACUCUUUCUUUUGUGGAAUCAUACCAUUACAGGUGGCGCAUGUUGACCGAACUCCUAGUUGCAGGACUAGACUCACUGCACCAGGGGUGGCGAAAAAACAGGCUGAAUUAUGCUCAUAAAACCCAAGAGACUGGCAACCCUGUUUCAGGUAUUUUUCUGAAAACCAGCAAACAUUCCACACUAAAAGAGGCGGCUGCUGAAAACCUACACUGGCUGGUGGAAAGGGACUUGAUUCCAUCUUGGCAAACGAGAAGCACCGUGGACUGACCUGUUGUUUGCUUUUGUCUUCUGUAGCUGCUCGUCCUGCCUCGCAUACCACUCUUCCAGCUCCUUUAUUGCUUUUUCUUUCCACUCUGCUUCCUGCUUCCGAGAAUUGGCAUCUUUGAAGGGAAGGAAAGACAACACAAAUAAAGCAACAUGCAAACUGAA